rnacentral:rRNA from 1 species
GAACUGAGACACGGUCCAGACUCCUACGGGAGGCAGCAGUGGGGAAUAUUGCACAAUGGGCGCAAGCCUGAUGCAGCCAUGCCGCGUGUGUGAAGAAGGCCUUCGGGUUGUAAAGCACUUUCAGCGGGGAGGAAGGCGUUAAGGUUAAUAACCUUGGCGAUUGACGUUACCCGCAGAAGAAGCACCGGCUAACUCCGUGCCAGCAGCCGCGGUAAUACGGAGGGUGCAAGCGUUAAUCGGAAUUACUGGGCGUAAAGCGCACGCAGGCGGUCUGUCAAGUCGGAUGUGAAAUCCCCGGGCUCAACCUGGGA